GAUGAAGAACGUAGCGAAAUGAGAUAAGUAAUGUGAAUUGCAGAAUUCAGUGAAUCAUCGAAUCUUUGAACGCAUCUUGCGCUCCUUGGUAUUCUGAGGAGCAUGCCUGUUUGAGUGUCAUUAAAUUCUCAACUACACUGACUUUGAAUUGGUGUGGCUUGGAUUUGGGGGGAAAAUUGUUGUGGGCUUUUUGUAUAGUCUGCUCCCCUGAAAUUGAUUAGCGGUACCUUUGUGGAACUGUCUACAGGUGUGAUAAUUAUCUACAUCUUAGACAUCUGCUGGAAUGCUGCUUUCUAAACCUUACUUGUAUUGACAAUCUUGACCUCAAAUCAGGCAGGACUACCCGCUGAACUUAAGCAUAUCAAUAAGCGGAGGA
rnacentral:misc_RNA from 1 species